GACGAACGCUGGCGGCGUGCUUAGCACAUGCAAGUCGAACGGUGAAGCGCCUUCCUUUUUGGUGGGUGUGGAUGAGUGGCGAACGGGUGAGUAACACGUGAGUAACCUGCCCCCUUCUUCGUGAUAACCGCAUGAAAGUGUGGCUAAUACGGGAUAUUCUGGGUCUGUCGCAUGAUGGGUCUGGGAAAGAUAUUGUUUCGGUUGGGGAUGGGCUCGCGGCCUAUCAGCUUGUUGGUGGGGUGAUGGCCUACCAAGGCGGUGACGGGUAGCCGGCCUGAGAGGGUGGACGGUCACACUGGGAAUGAGGCACGGCCCAGACUCCUACGGGAGGCAGCAGUGGGGACUAUUGCACAAUGGGCGCAAGCCUGAUGCAGCGACGCCGCGUGAGGGAUGGAGGCCUUCGGGUUGUGAACCUCUUUCGCCAGUGAAGCAGGCCUGCCUCGUUUGUGGGUGGGUUGACGGUAGCUGGAUAAGAAGCGCCGGCUAACUACGUG
rnacentral:rRNA from 1 species